AGAUUGAACGCUGGCGGCAGGCCUAACACAUGCAAGUCGAGCGGUAGAGAGGUGCUUGCAUCUCUUGAGAGCGGCGGACGGGUGAGUAAUGCCUAGGAAUCUGCCUAGUGGCGGGGGAUAACGUUCGGAAACGGACGCUAAUACCGCAUACGUCCUACGGGAGAAAGCGGGGGACCUUCGGGCCUCGCGCCAUUAGAUGAGCCUAGGUCGGAUUAGCUAGUUGGUGAGGUAAUGGCUCACCAAGGCGACGAUCCGUAACUGGUCUGAGAGGAUGAUCAGUCACACUGGAACUGAGACACGGUCCAGACUCCGUACGGGA
rnacentral:rRNA from 1 species